GAGGAUAUAGCUCGAGUGGUUGAGUGCCUGCUUAGCAUUCAUGAGGUCCUGGGUUCAAUCCCCAGUACCUCA
rnacentral:tRNA from 1 species